rnacentral:rRNA from 1 species
GCUCCAAAAGCGUAUAUUAAAGUUGUUGCAGUUAAAACGCUCGUAGUCGGAUUUCGGGGCGAGCCUGCCGGUCUGCCGAUGGGUAUGCACUGGCAGGGUCGUCCUUCCUUCCGGAGACUGUCCUACUCUUAACUGAGCGGGGUCGGGAGACGGGAUCGUUUACUUUGAAAAAAUCAGAGUGUUUCAAGCAGGCAGCUCGC